rnacentral:rRNA from 1 species
UGAGGAAUAUUGGUCAAUGGACGAGAGUCUGAACCAGCCAAGUAGCGUGAAGGAUGACUGCCCUAUGGGUUGUAAACUUCUUUUAUAAGGGAAUAAAGUGAGGGACGUGUCCCUUUUUGUAUGUACCUUAUGAAUAAGGAUCGGCUAACUCCGUGCCAGCAGCCGCGGUAAUACGGAGGAUCCAAGCGUUAUCCGGAUUUAUUGGGUUUAAAGGGAGCGUAGGUUGACAUAUAAGUCAGCUGUGAAAGUUUACGGCUCAACCGUGAAAUUGCAGUUGAUACUGUAUGUCUUGAGUGCAAGCGAGGUAAGUGGAAUGUGUUGUGUAGCGGUGAAAUGCAUAGAUAUAACACAGAACACCGAUUGCGAAGGCAGCUUACUAGUAUGUAACUGACGCUGAGGCACGAAAGCGUGGGGAGCAAACAGG